rnacentral:rRNA from 1 species
AUUGAACGCUGGCGGCAUGCUUUACACAUGCAAGUCGAACGGCAGCGCGGGCUUCGGCCUGGCGGCGAGUGGCGAACGGGUGAGUAAUACAUCGGAACGUGCCCAGUAGUGGGGGAUAGCUCGGCGAAAGCCGGAUUAAUACCGCAUACGACCUGAGGGUGAAAGCGGGGGAUCUUCGGACCUCGCGCUAUUGGAGCGGCCGAUGGCCGAUUAGCUAGUUGGUGGGGUAAAGGCCUACCAAGGAGACGAUCUGUAGCUGGUCUGAGAGGACGACAAGCCACACUGGGACUGGGACACGGCCCAGACUCCUACGGGAGGCAGCAGUGGGGAAUUUUGGACAAUGGGCGAAAGCCUGAUCCAGCAAUGCCGCGUGUGUGAUGAAGGCCUUCGGGUUGUAAAGCACUUUUGGCGGGAACGAAAAGGACUGUGCCAAUACCACGGUUCGAUGACGGUACCCGCAGAAUAAGCACCGGCUAACUACGUG